rnacentral:tRNA from 1 species
GGGUGAUUAGCUCAGUUUGGUAGAGCAGCUGACUCUUAAUCAGUUGGUCCGGGGUUCGAGUCCCCGAUCACCCACCA